AGAGUUUGAUCCUGGCUCAGAAUGAACGUUGGCGGCGUGGAUUAGGCAUGCAAGUCGUGCGGAAAGGCUCCUUCGGGAGUACUCGAGCGGCGAAAGGGAGAGUAACGCGUGGACAUCUGCCCUCGGACCUCGGAUAGCGGUGGGAAACUGCCGGUAAUACGAGAUAAUGUCUCCGGACCAAAGGUGUGAUUCCGUCCGAGGAUGAGUCCGCGUCCUAUUAGCUAGUUGGUGUGGUAAUGGCUCACCAAGGCUGUGAUGGGUACCGGGUGUGAGAGCAUGGCCCGGCUCACUGGGACUGAGACACUGCCCAGACACCUACGGGUGGCUGCAGUCGAGAAUCUUCGGCAAUGGGCGCAAGCCUGACCGAGCGACGCCGCGUGCGGGAUGAAGGCCUUCGGGUUGUAAACCGCUGUCAGAGGGGAGGAAAUGCGUGAGGGUUCUCUCUCAUGUUUGACCGAUCCUCAGAGGAAGUACGGGCUAAGUUCGUGCCAGCAGCCGCGGUAAUUACGAACCGUACGAACGUUAUU
rnacentral:rRNA from 1 species